GCUCAGAGCGAACGCUGGCGGCAGGCCUAACACAUGCAAGUCGAACGGACCUUUCGGGGUUAGUGGCGGACGGGUGAGUAACACGUGGGAACGUGCCUUUAGGUUCGGAAUAAGCUCGGGAAACUGGGUCUAAUACCGAAUGUGCCCUUCGGGGGAAAGAUUUAUCGCCUUUAGAGCGGCCCGCGUCUGAUUAGCUAGUUGGUGGUGUAAUGGACCACCAAGGCGACGAUCAGUAGCUGGUCUGAGAGGAUGACCAGCCACAUUGGGACUGAGACACGGCCCAAACUCCUACGGGAGGCAGCAGUGGGGAAUCUUGCGCAAUGGGCGAAAGCCUGACGCAGCCAUGCCGCGUGUAUGAUGAAGGUCUUAGGAUUGUAAAAUACUUUCACCGGUGAAGAUAAUGA
rnacentral:rRNA from 1 species